AACAACACCAAAAGAAACACAACAAGAAAAGAAAAAAGUUGUUGUGGAGGAUUCACCUCCUGAAGAAGAUCAAUACUUUGACGGUGAGAGAUAUGAAAUAUCAAGUGACGAAAUCGAUGAAUGGCUAAGGGGAAACGUUGAUAAAUCUGCUGCGGAGGGGGAGAACCUAGCUGACCUGCGAUCGACAGAAGGUCGCUAUGUGUCCUCUGAAACGUAAGAACCUUUAUUAUUUAAUAAAAUCUUG